rnacentral:rRNA from 1 species
CUUGCUUCUCUUGAGAGCGGCGGACGGGUGAGUAAUGCCUAGGAAUCUGCCUGGUAGUGGGGGAUAACGUCCGGAAACGGACGCUAAUACCGCAUACGUCCUACGGGAGAAAGCAGGGGACCUUCGGGCCUUGCGCUAUCAGAUGAGCCUAGGUCGGAUUAGCUAGUUGGUGGGGUAAUGGCUCACCAAGGCGACGAUCCGUAACUGGUCUGAGAGGAUGAUCAGUCACACUGGAACUGAGACACGGUCCAGACUCCUACGGGAGGCAGCAGUGGGGAAUAUUGGACAAUGGGCGAAAGCCUGAUCCAGCCAUGCCGCGUGUGUGAAGAAGGUCUUCGGAUUGUAAAGCACUUUAAGUUGGGAGGAAGGGCAGUAAAUUAAUACUUUGCUGUCCCCGACGUUACCGACAGAAUAAGCACCGGCUAACUCUGUGCCAGCAGCCGCGGUAAUACAGAGGGUGCAAGCGUUAAUCGGAAUUACUGGGCGUAAAGCGCGCGUAGGUGGUUCGUUAAGUUGGAUGUGAAAUCCCCGGGCUCAACCUGGGAACUGCAUUCAAAACUGACGAGCUAGAGUAUGGUAGAGGGUGGUGGAAUUUCCUGUGUAGCGGUGAAAUGCGUAGAUAUAGGA